CAGGCCACGACACGCCUUGGGCUCUCCUCGAUGCGAUUUGUGAGGCAAGGCUCGCCUUCUUCCACGCACCCAUGGAGGACAAUCUCCAGUUCACCUGAGAUGGGACUCGUCCCGGGCAAAAAACAACUGAUGGCACAAAGUUGCCACCAGCAGCAGUUGAUCUGGGAUUUCCACGAGCCGGAACAACGUUCGUCCGGUCCCUUCAAAUCUCCUGACCUAGGUGCACAUGGUAUGGCUGGCCUGCUCAGCUUGCGUGCCGGUCCGAGGAGUUCACCGUCACUUGCCCGGUCGUCGUCCGCCUGGGCGUCACCGGCUUCACAGGUGGUGGUUCGUCUGACAAGCCCACAGUUUCGCUGUGCCAGACUUUGUAACAGCCGUAGUCUACUAGCAGCAGCAGUCAAGAUCUCUAAGGACGGCUCCUCUGCGGUUCUGGCCAACAGCCUGCCUUUCAAAGGGGCUAUUAAUUGCGGAAUGCUGAUGCGGUAUGUUUUGAUGUUGAUAGCACCGUUGAUAGCACCGUCAUCCUAGACGAGGGCAUUGACGAGGAUACUAAUUUCUGCGGGGCUGGGAAAGCAGUUGCUGAAUGGACUGCAAAGGCCAUGAUAGGGACUGUUCCGUUGAGGAGGCGCUGGCAGCCAGGCUGUCUUUAAUCAAGCCAUCUCUCUCCCAGGUGGAAGAGUGCCCGGAGAAGAGGCCACCAAGUAUGCUCGCAUCAUCAGAAGCUUGGGUUUCCAGCAAAAUUCAAGGACUUCAAGAUUCAGAACAUUGUUAGGUCCUGUGAUGUCAUUUUCAGAACAUUGUUCGGUCCUGUGAUGUCAAAUCCCCAAUCAGGCUCGAGGGUCUUGCAUACUCUCACGGUGCUUUCUCAAGUUAUGAAACAGAGCUCUUCUCUGGCUUGAUCUAUCGAAUGAAGCGGCAAAAAAUCAUGCUGCUGAUUUUUGUUUCCGGCAAGAUUGUUCUGACAAGAGCUAAGGUGAGAGAUGAGACGUACACUGCUUUUGAAAAUAUCUAUCCAGUCCUCACAAAGUUCAGAAAAGUCCGGCAAUGUUAAGUACAUGGUAAUUACUAAUGGGCAUGGGUAAUUAGGGCAUGCUGUUCAACUAUGUGCCCAGUUGUUGUUGUUGUCCCCUUUUUAUCGUUUUGUUUCCUGAUGGUACGGGUGAUCACAUUUUCAGAAAACUUAAGUUCGUCACUUGGUGUAUGUAGAUAACUUAGGAAUGGGCAAAUGCUAUUGCUGGCCGCCAGCUCU